GCGUUUGCUUCAGUGACACACGUACUAAAACUAGAACCAUACAGAGGAGAUUAGCCUGGCCCCUGCACAAAGAUGACGCACAAACUUGUGAAGCAUUCCAUAUUUUU
ensembl:snRNA U6 U6 spliceosomal RNA